UCCGCCUUUGUUGCCAUUUUUUGUUUAUAACCAAGCGACUCGAAUCGAUGAAAGUAUCAGUUCAAGCAACAACAAACAACAAACAACAACAAAUCUUAAACCUUCAACUCAACCAACAAACACCAACAAAAAGAUGAAACUUUUCGCUGUUAUCGCUCUUUUCGCCCUCAUCGCCACCGUCUUUGCCAACUCAUGGAAGGAAGACAAACACUGGGGACACCAUCAACACGGUAAAAUCGGAUACAAAGUUGAUGUUCACCAUGGCGGUUGGGGUAAACACGACAAGGGAUGGACUGAACUCCAUGAUUCCCGAGACAAGACUACUGGUCAUGGUCAUCAUGGUCACUCUGGUCAUGGAUGGAAGAGCCAUGGAUGGAAGCCUUGAAAGGUUCUGAUUUCGUGAGAUUAGGACUUUACUUUCAUCGGGAUUUGGAUAUCAUUGCUUUGGAAUUAUUUUUAUCAUAAAAAUAACAUGAACAUCACAUUGAACCAAAACUGAAUUGUGCCUAUCAAGUGUCUCUUGAUAAGUUGAAAUUUAAUUCUGUUUCUUGUUUUUACUUCUGUGUCACUUUCAUGGAUAUUUAAUUAUUUAUAUCAUCAAUCGUCAUGUAAAAACAAUGGUUAAUUGUGAUUAAAUUAUGUUUUCAACUUAACUCAUAAA